rnacentral:rRNA from 1 species
UACGUAGGGGGCUAGCGUUGUCCGGAUUUAUUGGGCGUAAAGAGCGUGUAGGCGGCCAUGUAGGUCCGGUGUGAAAACUCGAGGCUUAACCUCGAGAUGUCAUCGGAAACCAUUUGGCUAGAGUCCGGAAGAGGAGAGUGGAAUUCCUGGUGUAGCGGUGAAAUGCGCAGAUAUCAGGAGGAACACCGGUGGCGAAGGCGGGUCUCUGGGCCGAUACUGACGCUGAGGCGCGAAAGCGUGGGUAGCAAACGGG